rnacentral:tRNA from 1 species
GCCUGGGUGGCUCAGUGGUUGAGCAUCUGGCUUCUGCUCAGGGCAUUCUGGGAUUGAGUCCCACAUCAGGCU